rnacentral:lncRNA from 1 species
AAACAUCAAACACUAGGAAGUGGAGUUGUGCCCUGCAGGUUCGGUCAUGGGUGCUGGGGUUGUUUGGGGGAUGCUCCCAUGGUUUUUGCAGCGAGGCUGUCUGUCUGUCAUUGACUGCAGGGACUCCUUGUCUAAAUUUGUGUAUUUGUGUUGUCUCUGCGAUGGGUGGGUCUUCGGGGUUCUCUGGGUGUUUUGUUGUUCUGGAGUCGUCCCGUCUGAUGUCCGGGUCCUGUUCGUGUGCGGGUUUGGCCGGUGCCGUGGUCCGCUUGGCAUUCUUAGUGUCUUGUUUGUGCUCCCUUAUC